CAGCAGCCGCGGUAAUACAGAGGAUGCAAGCGUUAUCCGGAAUGAUUGGGCGUAAAGCGUCUGUAGGUGGCUUUUCAAGUCCGCCGUCAAAUCCCAGGGCUCAACCCUGGACAGGCGGUGGAAACUACCAAGCUGGAGUACGGUAGGGGCAGAGGGAAUUUCCAGUGGAGCGGUGAAGUGCGUUGAGAUCGAAAAGAACACCAACAGCGAAAGCACUCUGCUGGGACGACACUGACACUAAGAGACGAAAGCUAGGGGAGCAAAUGGGAUUAGAUACCCGGGUAGUCCCUGUCUCUUAUAA
rnacentral:rRNA from 1 species